CUGAAAAACCCUAACUUUUGGAGCCACACAUACCUAUAUAGCCCAUACAAGGGAGUACACCACCUGGGGGGUGCAAUAAGCUUUUUCUUUAACAGGUGUCAUAUUACACCCCCACCUUCCCACAACGGCCACCUCUCUACAACAGACACCUUCCUCUGUCUCAAAGCUGGCUGUUGUGGAGAGGUUCGACUGUAAUAAACAUCAAGGUUGAACACUCAACCUUUUUUUUUUUCAGCAGAAUAUCUGUACUCCACACCACAGCAAUUAUCCAAGAAGCUGAGAUAUUUUUGUAAAAAUCCACGACAUGUGAGGACUCACAAAGUCACUGCUGACUGGAGACGCUUCACGUGGGACACACUGAAGGAUUCAUUUUACGAACUUCUUUCUCCUACAGCAGAGGCAAACAAAGCCUGAUGUCUGAAUUACGCAGAGAAUUUCCUUUUAUUUUUCUGUCCACCUUGUUAGUUUGUCGUCACUGAUGAAGCUACACCUUGUAGCCUGGUAGUAAUACUUGAUAAAUAAUAAAAUCAAUCACGUCA